rnacentral:rRNA from 1 species
GACGAACGCUGGCGGCGUGCUUAACACAUGCAAGUCGAACGGAAAGGCCCUGCUUUUGUGGGGUGCUCGAGUGGCGAACGGGUGAGUAACACGUGAGUAACCUGCCCUUGACUUUGGGAUAACUUCAGGAAACUGGGGCUAAUACCGGAUAGGAGCUCCUGCUGCAUGGUGGGGGUUGGAAAGUUUCGGCGGUUGGGGAUGGACUCGCGGCUUAUCAGCUUGUUGGUGUGGUAGUGGCUUACCAAGGCUUCGACGGGUAGCCGGCCUGAGAGGGUGACCGGCCACAUUGGGACUGAGAUACGGCCCAGACUCCUACGGGAGGCAGCAGUGGGGAAUAUUGCACAAUGGGCGGAAGCCUGAUGCAGCAACGCCGCGUGCGGGAUGACGGCCUUCGGGUUGUGAACCGCUUUCGCCUGUGACGAGGCGUGAGUGACGGUAAUGGGUAAAGAAGCACCGGCUAACUACGUG